CUGUCUACAUAAUCUUUUGACCAUCUUCAUAUAUUUCUCUAUUCAAAAGUUCUUGUCUUUCUCUGAUCCUACUUCUUACAAGCUUCCAUCGCAACAUGAAAUCGGGCAUCAUGAGGGUGAGUUAAGGUAAUCGAUUUCAACAGAUGGUAGGGUAUCGAUUUCAUCCACAAUUAUUUGGGGAUCUUGUGUUCUAGACCGUGAAGGAGAUUCUACGAUUCCCUGUCUGAAUUAACUGAAAUUGAUUGUAUAAUUGUGCGUAAAUGGUUGUUUGAAGUUGAUUAUUGUCGGGGUUGAGAUUACAUCUGCAAUUACUUGUUCUUGCAACCACAUGAGCAGUUGAAGAACAUAGAUGAAGGUGGUGAUUAAUUAGUAGUAUCUUAAAGAUGGAUUUCGUUAGUGUUAUUGAUUUGGGAUUGGGAGUUUCAUCAUCUUCUUUCUUGAUACUCCUUUGAUCUUUAUUUUAAUCAUUAUCAUCUCCUGAUUUACCCACAA